rnacentral:rRNA from 1 species
AGAUCGCUGCUAUACUGCAGUCGAGCGGACAGAUGGGAGCUUGCUCCCUGAUGUUAGCGGCGGACGGGUGAGUAACACGUGGGUAACCUGCCUGUAAGACUGGGAUAACUCCGGGAAACCGGGGCUAAUACCGGAUGCUUGUUUGAACCGCAUGGUUCAAACAUAAAAGGUGGCUUCGGCUACCACUUACAGAUGGACCCGCGGCGCAUUAGCUAGUUGGUGAGGUAACGGCUCACCAAGGCAACGAUGCGUAGCCGACCUGAGAGGGUGAUCGGCCACACUGGGACUGAGACACGGCCCAGACUCCUACGGGAGGCAGCAGUAGGGAAUCUUCCGCAAUGGACGAAAGUCUGACGGAGCAACGCCGCGUGAGUGAUGAAGGUUUUCGGAUCGUAAAGCUCUGUUGUUAGGGAAGAACAAGUACCGUUCGAAUAGGGCGGUACCUUGACGGUACCUAACCAGAAAGCCACGGCUAACUACGUGCCAGCAGCCGCGGUAAUACGUAGGUGGCAAGCGUUGUCCGGAAUUAUUGGGCGUAAAGGGCUCGCAGGCGGUUUCUUAAGUCUGAUGUGAAAGCCCCCGGCUCAACCGGGGAGGGUCAUUGGAAACUGGGGAACUUGAGUGCAGAAGAGGAGAGUGGAAUUCCACGUGUAGCGGUGAAAUGCGUAGAGAUGUGGAGGAACACCAGUGGCGAAGGCGACUCUCUGGUCUGUAACUGACGCUGAGGAGCGAAAGCGUGGGGAGCGAACAGGAUUAGAUACCCUGGUAGUCCACGCCGUAAACGAUGAGUGCUAAGUGUUAGGGGGUUUCCGCCCCUUAGUGCUGCAGCUAACGCAUUAAGCACUCCGCCUGGGGAGUACGGUCGCAAGACUGAAACUCAAAGGAAUUGACGGGGGCCCGCACAAGCGGUGGARCAUGUGGUUUAAUUCGAAGCAACGCGAAGAACCUUACCAGGUCUUGACAUCCUCUGACAAUCCUAGAGAUAGGACGUCCCCUUCGGGGGCAGAGUGACAGGUGGUGCAUGGUUGUCGUCAGCUCGUGUCGUGAGAUGUUGGGUUAAGUCCCGCAACGAGCGCAACCCUUGAUCUUAGUUGCCAGCAUUCAGUUGGGCACUCUAAGGUGACUGCCGGUGACAAACCGGAGGAAGGUGGGGAUGACGUCAAAUCAUCAUGCCCCUUAUGACCUGGGCUACACACGUGCUACAAUGGACAGAACAAAGGGCAGCGAAACCGCGAGGUUAAGCCAAUCCCACAAAUCUGUUCUCAGUUCGGAUCGCAGUCUGCAACUCGACUGCGUGAAGCUGGAAUCGCUAGUAAUCGCGGAUCAGCAUGCCGCGGUGAAUACGUUCCCGGGCCUUGUACACACCGCCCGUCACACCACGAGAGUUUGUAACACCCGAAGUCGGUGAGGUAACCUUUAGGAGCCAGCCGCCGAAGAUACAGAA